UCUAGAACUCGAGAUAUGAGCUGGACACCAAAUAGUGUCUGGGCUGCAGGACAAAUUCUAACGUCUCUUUUGAUGCUAAGAUUUGAACUUGAAAACUGAAGAUUUCAAUCUUGGACUAUUCAUGAAAGUUUUAGGCCUAUGUCUUAGCUUUCCAUC
rfam:Populus trichocarpa isolate Nisqually-1 chromosome 1, whole genome shotgun sequence.